AACGAACGCUGGCGGCAUGCCUAACACAUGCAAGUCGAACGAUGCUUUCGGGCAUAGUGGCGCACGGGUGCGUAACGCGUGGGAAUCUGCCCUUGGGUUCGGAAUAACAGUGAGAAAUUGCUGCUAAUACCGGAUGAUGUCUUCGGACCAAAGAUUUAUCGCCCAGGGAUGAGCCCGCGUAGGAUUAGCUAGUUGGUGGGGUAAUGGCCUACCAAGGCGACGAUCCUUAGCUGGUCUGAGAGGAUGAUCAGCCACACUGGGACUGAGACACGGCCCAGACUCCUACGGGAGGCAGCAGUGGGGAAUAUUGGACAAUGGGCGCAAGCCUGAUCCAGCAAUGCCGCGUGAGUGAUGAAGGCCUUAGGGUUAUAAAGCUCUUUUACCCGGGAUGAUAAUGACAGUACCGGGAGAAUAAGCUCCGGCUAACUCCGUG
rnacentral:rRNA from 1 species